UAAAGGCCCAUUGUCCUUCCUGAUAGGUUGUUACUAAACCGUGAACAAUCCCUUUGAGGGAACUGGAGUGUACAGAAAGCUCCUGAGCCCCGUCCGGGCCAAGGGCUAGGUGCCCCGGAGUGUGCCAGGGCUGCACCUAUAGGGCGGCAUUGAAUGAAUCAGACACCAACCUGUGAGGCCGGAGCCAGGAAAGCCUUCCAAGAGGAACUGAGCAAAAAAGCCUGUUCUCAGCUAGAAGGUCGUUCUGCUUCUGUGUGCCAAGGGGCCUCGGGACUCGGUCCCCACGAGGGUUCUGAAGAUCGUCCCAGCCACUCCCGGGCCCACGCCGCCAUGCCCACCCCCUGUGCUGGGAUGGAGCAAGACUGGACCUGGCCGGGUGGGCAUCGGAGGCCUUCGGGGACCAAGGCGACAUUUGGUUGGGACCCCACCCAGUUCCAUGGGCCUCAGGCCAGACACACAGGACCGUGCACAUUCCUGAGCUGCCUAGGAAGCAGACACCUGGGGAUUAGUCGGAGCCUUUAGUACGUAAUGUGUGGGCAUCGAGACACUUCGGUGGGAAGAAAGCAGAUACAGUGCGUAGAGCUUCCUGCAUUUCUUCGGUCUCCUUUACUGGCCCAGGUUUCUCCCACCCUCCUAGCUGGCGCUGGCCUCCCCGAGGCCUGCCUGGUUCUCCCCGCCAGCUCCGGGCUCUCUCCUCCGUGGUUCCCAUCACAGCUGCUGCCGUGGGUUCGGGACCCUCCAAUAAUCCCCUGACGGAUAUGCCCACCCCAGUCCUCCCCUGAGCUCCCAGCCUGAAUUCACCCACUUCCCCCUUGACUGAUAAC